rnacentral:misc_RNA from 1 species
GAUGAAGAAUGUAGUAAAAUGCGAUAAGUAAUGUGAAUUGCAGAAUUCAGUGAAUCAUCGAAUCUUUGAACGCACAUUGCGCCCGCUGGUAUUCCGGCGGGCAUGCCUGUUCGAGCGUCAUUUCAACCCUCAAGCCCCCGGGUUUGGUGUUGGGGAUCGGCUCUGCCCUUCUGGGCGGUGCCGCCCCCGAAAUACAUUGGCGGUCUCGCUGCAGCCUCCAUUGCGUAGUAGCUAACACCUCGCAACUGGAACGCGGCGCGGCCAUGCCGUAAAACCCCAACUUCUGAAUGUUGACCUCGGAUCAGGUAGGAAUACCCGCUGAACUUAAGCAUAUCAAUAAGCGGAGGA